CUACGGGGCGCUCCAGUGGGGAAUAUUGCACAAUGGGGGAAACCCUGAUGCAGCAACGCCGCGUGGAGGAUGACGCAUUUCGGUGUGUAAACUCCUUUUAUAUAGGAAGAUAAUGACGGUACUAUAUGAAUAAGCACCGGCUAACUCCGUGCCAGCAGCCGCGGUAAUACGGAGGGUGCAAGCGUUACUCGGAAUCACUGGGCGUAAAGCGCGCGCAGGCGGCCUUUUAAGUUGGAUGUGAAAGCCUAUGGCUUAACCAUAGAACUGCAUCCAAAACUAUCAGGCUAGAGUCUGGGAGGGGAAGAUGGAAUUAGUUGUGUAGGGGUAAAAUCCGUAGAGAUAACUAGGAAUACAAAAAGCGAAGGCGAUCUUCUGGAACAGUACUGACGCUGAGGCGCGAAAGCGUGGGGAGCAAACAGGAUUAGAUACCCCUGUAGUC
rnacentral:rRNA from 1 species